CAACAGUCGUACGUCAGUUGUGACUCUGUCACAGUCACCUCCACAGGAGCCAACUCAACAAAGGAGGUUUUUCUCUAAAUGAACAGAAAGGGGAACUCCUGAUGGAAGACAGAAACCAACAUGUCAGGUGGUUUUAUUGUUUUUUUUCAUUCUCUCUUCUUCUUCUUCUUUGGCUCACAGAGGCCGUGGAGACGACUCACCUGAUGAAGAAGGACGAUCUGGUGCCUGCGAUGCUGCGAGUUGUUCAGUGCGACAGGGAAAGGAUGGAUGGCUUUGGAUGGAGGCGGCUGCCGUGUCCUCGCCCCCCUGAUUUCGGGCAAGCGAGCAAGAGUGGAGACCCAGCUGAGCAACGGGGCCGGUGACGGCAGCGCGGGCGAAAAUAAACAGCAGGCCUGAGAAAUCAAUUCAGCGUGGCUGUCAGUGGACUGUCAAACUCCCCUCCGUGAUGGACAGUCUGGAUGUUCACAGUCUAUUUGCCGCCAGGCUGUGGAGCGAAUUCCUGUGCCGGUUCCAGAUCAUAUCCCGAGUCUCGUUUUACAUUCCAGCUCUGCUCCCUGAGCUUGACUCAUCACCGCGGCU